UACGGGGGGGGCAAGCGUUGUUCGGAAUUACUGGGCGUAAAGGGCUCGUAGGCGGCCAACUAAGUCAUACGUGAAAUCCCUCGGCUUAACCGGGGAACUGCGUCUGAUACUGGAUGGCUUGAGUUCGGGAGAGGGAUGCGGAAUUCCAGGUGUAGCGGUGAAAUGCGUAGAUAUCUGGAGGAACACCGGUGGCGAAGGCGGCAUCCUGGACCGAUACUGACGCUGAUGAGCGAAAGCCUGGGGAGCAAACGGG
rnacentral:rRNA from 1 species